rnacentral:rRNA from 1 species
AACGAACGCUGGCGGCAUGCCUAACACAUGCAAGUCGAACGAUGCCUUCGGGCAGAGUGGCGCACGGGUGCGAAACGCGUGGGAAUCUGCCUUUCGGCUCGGAAUAACUCAGGGAAACUUGAGGUAAUACCGGAUAACUUCGCAAGACCAAAGAUUUAUCACCGAAAGAUGAGCCCGCGUAGGAUUAGCUAGUUGGUGAGGUAAAGGCUCACCAAGGCGACGAUCCUUAGCUGGUCUGAGAGGAUGAUCAGCCACACUGGGACUGAGACACGGCCCAGACUCGUACGAGAGGCAGCAGUGGGGAAUAUUGGACAAGGGGCGAAAGCCUGAUCCAGCAAGGCCGCGUGAGUGAUGAAGGCGUUAGGGUUGUAAAGCUCCUUUACCCGGGAAGAUAAUGACGGUACCGGGAGAAUAAGCCCCGGCUAACUACGUG